UUAGACUAGGAAAGUAAAUGGAAGAGAAUUCUACAGUGGCGGCGGAUGUGAUUCAGUGGUCGUGGGCAAAACUCUAAACCCCAAGUUGCUCAUUCUGCUUCGUCAGCAGUGUAUGAAUGGAUUAGUUAAUACUGAUGGACUCCUAACAUAGCAGCCUGUUCCAGGGUUGCCAGGGCCACGCUUUUCCCGCAGAAUUGGGCUACUUUUUAGCUGCUGCCACAGGUAUUAUUUGAGUGGACCUAUUUUUUUUAUUAAUUUGUGAUGUAAAUGAAUAAUAAAAUAAAUAACCAACCAAAUCGACAAACACACACACACAAAAAAAAAAAAGAUCCCAUUUAGAAAUAUUGCGUAAUUUUUUUGGAGCUUUUAGUUUCAGUUGCUGCUCAGAGUCCCAACACAAUUAAAAACAAACUGUUAUAAGUUCUUUGAAAAUUAUUUCCCAAUUUUUUGUGUGUACUGUAAGAAAGGGAGGGCUAAGACCUGCACGCCUAUGUAUGCCACUUGUCCAUUGAUGCGGGUACCCCCCAGCUCCUUUUUGGGUAAAUUUACAUGCAGUGUGAAGAUACGAGCAUAAUUAAGAUCGCUAGCAUUAGCAUGCUAACACAACAAUGCACCGCGAGUUGUUUUGGUUUCAUGCUGGUGCUCAAGGGCGACAUCUGCUGGAUCAAAAAAUCGCAUAUAAAGCCUUUAAAGGCAAAAAAGCCUCAGAAAUAACAAAAAAAAAAAACAAUAUGAGCCAAUUUGGGGAGGUUAUCGUUAAAUUGCACCAAAUUAAAUUCCACUUAAAAACAAAUAAAAUUGUCUUAAAAUGCCUUUGCUAAAAGUGGUCUAAAAGAGAGGAAUAGAAGUUUGAUAAAACAAGGGAGAGCUAAAAGUCCAGCACUUAAAAAGUAUUAGCCUAAAAGUCACUCAGUUCCAACAAAAUUAAAACAGUGAGCAAAUUGACCCGAUCAUCUGCAACUGCCCACGCCUGCUGCUUCCCUUGUAGGGUCUCUUCUCGUCGCUUGACACGUACACGGGCUGCA